rnacentral:rRNA from 1 species
UACGAGGGGGGCAAGCGUUGUUCGGAAUUAUUGGGCGUAAAGGGCGCGUAGGCGGUGCGGUAAGUCUGAUGUGAAAUCUCCGGGCUCAACUCGGAGUCUGCAUCAGAAACUGCCGUGCUCGAGUGUGGGAGAGGUGAGUGGAAUUCCCGGUGUAGCAGUGAAAUGCGUAGAGAUGCGGAGGAACACCGAUGGCGAAGGCAGCCCCCCUGGGCUGACACUGACGCUCAGGCACGAAAGCGUGGGGAGCAAACAGG